rnacentral:rRNA from 1 species
UACGGGGGGGGGUAAGCGUUGUUCGGAAUUACUGGGCGUAAAGGGCUCGUAGGCGGCCAACUAAGUCAUACGUGAAAUCCCUCAGCUUAACUGGGGAACUGCGUGUGAUACUGGAUGGCUUGGAUUUGGGAGAGGGAUGCGGAAUUCCAGGUGUAGCGGUGAAAUGCGUAGAUAUCUGGAGGAACACCGGUGGCGAAGGCGGCAUCCUGGACCAAUAUUGACGCUGAGGAGCGAAAGCCAGGGGAGCAAAGCGGGG